CGGGACACGUGGUAUCCUGUCUGAAUAUGGGGGGACCAUCCUCCAAGGCUAAAUACUCCUGACUGACCGAUAGUGAACCAGUACCGUGAGGGAAAGGCGAAAAGAACCCCGGCGAGGGGAGUGAAAAAGAACCUGAAACCGUGUACGUACAAGCAGUGGGAGCACAGAGCAAUCUGUGUGACUGCGUACCUUUUGUAUAAUGGGUCAGCGACUUAUAUUCUGUAGCAAGGUUAACCGAAUAGGGGAGCCGAAGGGAAACCGAGUCUUAACUGGGCGUUAAGUUGCAGGGUAUAGACCCGAAACCCGGUGAUCUAGCCAUGGGCAGGUUGAAGGUUGGGUAACACUAACUGGAGGACCGAACCGACUAAUGUUGAAAAAUUAGCGGAUGACUUGUGGCUGGGGGUGAAAGGCCAAUCAAACCGGGAGAUAGCUGGUUCUCCCCGAAAGCUAUUUAGGUAGCGCCUCGUGAAUUCAUCUCCGGGGGUAGAGCACUGUUUCGGCAAGGGGGUCAUCCCGACUUACCAACCCGAUGCAAACUGCGAAUACCGGAGAAUGUUAUCACGGGAGACACACGGCGGGUGCUAACGUCCGUCGUGAAGAGGGAAACAACCCAGACCGCCAGCUAAGGUCCCAAAGUCAUGGUUAAGUGGGAAACGAUGUGGGAAGGCCCAGACAGCCAGGAUGUUGGCUUAGAAGCAGCCAUCAUUUAAAGAAAGCGUAAUAGCUCACUGGUCGAGUCGGCCUGCGCGGAAGAUGUAACGGGGCUAAACCAUGCACCGAAGCUGCGGCAGCGACGCUUAUGCGUUGUUGGGUAGGGGAGCGUUCUGUAAGCCUGUGAAGGUGUGCUGUGAGGCAUGCUGGAGGUAUCAGAAGUGCGAAUGCUGACAUAAGUAACGAUAAAGCGGGUGAAAAGCCCGCUCGCCGGAAGACCAAGGGUUCCUGUCCAACGUUAAUCGGGGCAGGGUGAGUCGACCCCUAAGGCGAGGCCGAAAGGCGUAGUCGAUGGGAAACAGGUUAAUAUUCCUGUACUUGGUGUUACUGCGAAGGGGGGACGGAGAAGGCUAUGUUGGCCGGGCGACGGUUGUCCCGGUUUAAGCGUGUAGGCUGGUUUUCCAGGCAAAUCCGGAAAAUCAAGGCUGAGGCGUGAUGACGAGGCACUACGGUGCUGAAGCAACAAAUGCCCUGCUUCCAGGAAAAGCCUCUAAGCAUCAGGUAACAUCAAAUCGUACCCCAAACCGACACAGGUGGUCAGGUAGAGAAUACCAAGGCGCUUGAGAGAACUCGGGUGAAGGAACUAGGCAAAAUGGUGCCGUAACUUCGGGAGAAGGCACGCUGAUAUGUAGGUGAAGUCCCUCGCGGAUGGAGCUGAAAUCAGUCGAAGAUACCAGCUGGCUGCAACUGUUUAUUAAAAACACAGCACUGUGCAAACACGAAAGUGGACGUAUACGGUGUGACGCCUGCCCGGUGCCGGAAGGUUAAUUGAUGGGGUUAGCGGUAACGCGAAGCUCUUGAUCGAAGCCCCGGUAAACGGCGGCCGUAACUAUAACGGUCCUAAGGUAGCGAAAUUCCUUGUCGGGUAAGUUCCGACCUGCACGAAUGGCGUAAUGAUGGCCAGGCUGUCUCCACCCGAGACUCAGUGAAAUUGAACUCGCUGUGAAGAUGCAGUGUACCCGCGGCAAGACGGAAAGACCCCGUGAACCUUUACUAUAGCUUGACACUGAACAUUGAGCCUUGAUGUGUAGGAUAGGUGGGAGGCUUAGAAGUGUGGACGCCAGUCUGCAUGGAGCCGACCUUGAAAUACCACCCUUUAAUGUUUGAUGUUCUAACGUUGACCCGUAAUCCGGGUUGCGGACAGUGUCUGGUGGGUAGUUUGACUGGGGCGGUCUCCUCCUAAAGAGUAACGGAGGAGCACGAAGGUUGGCUAAUCCUGGUCGGACAUCAGGAGGUUAGUGCAAUGGCAUAAGCCAGCUUGACUGCGAGCGUGACGGCGCGAGCAGGUGCGAAAGCAGGUCAUAGUGAUCCGGUGGUUCUGAAUGGAAGGGCCAUCGCUCAACGGAUAAAAGGUACUCCGGGGAUAACAGGCUGAUACCGCCCAAGAGUUCAUAUCGACGGCGGUGUUUGGCACCUCGAUGUCGGCUCAUCACAUCCUGGGGCUGAAGUAGGUCCCAAGGGUAUGGCUGUUCGCCAUUUAAAGUGGUACGCGAGCUGGGUUUAGAACGUCGUGAGACAGUUCGGUCCCUAUCUGCCGUGGGCGCUGGAGAACUGAGGGGGGCUGCUCCUAGUACGAGAGGACCGGAGUGGACGCAUCACUGGUGUUCGGGUUGUCAUGCCAAUGGCACUGCCCGGUAGCUAAAUGCGGAAGAGAUAAGUGCUGAAAGCAUCUAAGCACGAAACUUGCCCCGAGAUGAGUUCUCCCUGACUCCUUGAGAGUCCUGAAGGAACGUUGAAGACGACGACGUUGAUAGGCCGGGUGUGUAAGCGCAGCGAUGCGUUGAGCUAACCGGUACUAAUGAACCGUGAGG
rnacentral:rRNA from 1 species